AUCAACGCUGGCGGCGUGCCUCAGACAUGCAAGUCGAACGAUUAAGACUUCCUUCGGGAAGUGUAUAAAGUGGCGCACGGGGUUAGUAACACGUAGGUAAUGUACCGUAGGGUGGGGAAUAACAAUCGGAACGAUUGCUAAUACCGCAUAAUGCAGCGGCAUACACCGCGAGGUGACAGUUGUUAAAGGAGCAAUCCUGCCUUCAUGAGCAGCCCUCUGCGGCAGAUUAGCUAGUUGGUAAGGUAAUGGCUUACCAAGGCUACGAUCUGUAUCCGACCUGAGAGGGUGGUCGGACACACUGACACUGAAUAACGGGUCAGACUCCUACGGGAGGCAGCAGUCGGGAAUUUGGGGCAAUGGGCGAAAGCCUGACCCAGCAACGCCGCGUGAAGGAUGGAAGUCUUUCGGGAUAGUAAACUUCGUAAGAAUAGGAAGAAUAAAUGACGGUACUAUUUGUAAGGUCCGGCUAACUACGUGCCAGCAGCCGCGGUAAUACGUAGGGACCAAGCGUUGUUCGGAUUUACUGGGCGUAAAGGGCGCGUAGGCGGCGUGGUAAGUCAGUUGUGAAAUCUCCCGAGCUUAACUCGGAACGGUCAACUGAUACUGCUGUGCUAGAGUGCAGAAAGGGCAAUCGGAAUCUGGUGUAGCGGUGAAAUGCGUAGAUAUCAAGAGGAACACCUGAGGCGAAGGCGGGUUGCUAGGCUGACACUGACGCUGAGGGCGCGAAAAGCUAGGGUAGCAAACGGGCAUUAGAUACCCCGGUAGUCCUAGCCCCUAAACGAUGAAUACUUGGUGUCUGGAGUUUUUUAUUCUCCGGGUGCCGUCGCUAAACGUUUUUAGUAUUCCGCCUGGGGAGUACGCACGCAAGUGUGAAACUCAAAGGAAUUGACGGGGACCCGCACAAGCGGUGGAGCAUGUGGUUUAAUUCGACGCAACGCGAAGAACCUUACCUGAACUAGAAUGUGAGGGGAAGAAAGGGUAAUUCCAAUCGUCUGGGCACCAGACCCAAAACAAGGUGCUGCAAUGCUGUCGUCAGCUCGUGUCGUGAGAUGUUGGGUUAAGUCCCGCAACGAGCGCAACCCCUAUCAACAGUUUGCCAUUAUUAAGUUAGGAACUCUUGUUGAGACUGCCGUUGAUAAAACGGAGGAAGGUGGGGAUGAUGUCAAGUCAUCAUGGCCUUUAUGUUCAGGGCUACACACGUGCUACAAUGGACGGUACAAAGCGCUGCAAACUCGUAAGAGGGAGCCAAUCGCAAAGCCGUUCUCAGUUCGGAUUGAAGUCUGCAACUCGACUUCAUGAAGCCUGGAAUCGCUAGUAAUCAGCAGAUCAGCAUGCUGCGGUGAAUACGUUCCCGGUCUUGUACACACCGCCCGUCACAUCACGAAAGUGGAUUGUACUAGAAGUAGCCAGGGCUAACUCGCAAGAGGGGCAUGUUACCCACGGUAUGAUUCAUGAUUGGGGUG
rnacentral:rRNA from 1 species